UACGUAGGGGGCAAGCGUUGUCCGGAAUCACUGGGCGUAAAGGGUGCGCAGGCGGCUUCUUAAGUCAGAGGUGAAAUCUCACGGCUUAACCGUGGAACUGCCUUUGAUACUGCAGAUCUUGAGUUUGGGAGAGGUUGAUGGAAUUCCAGGUGUAGCGGUGAAAUGCGUAGAUAUCUGGAAGAACACCAGUGGCGAAGGCGGUCAACUGGCCCGUAACUGACGCUCAGGCACGAAAGCGUGGGGAGCGAACAGG
rnacentral:rRNA from 1 species